rnacentral:lncRNA from 1 species
GAUCAUUUGAGGUCAGAGUUCAAAACCAGCCUGGCCAACAUGGCAAAAUCUCGUCUCUACUAAAAAUACAAAAAAAAAAGCCAGGUGUGGUGGCAGGCACCUAUAAUCCCAGCUACUUGGGAGGUUGAUGCAGGAGAAUCGCUUGAACCCAGGAGGCGGAGGUUGCAUUGAGCCGAGACUGUGCCACUGCACUCCAGCCUGGGGGACGAGAGCAAGACUUCAUGUCAAAAAAGAAAAAGAAAAAUUAGCCGGAUGUGGUGGCACAUGCCUGUAAUACCAGCUAUUCAGGAGGCUGAGGCAGGAGAAUUGCUUGAACCUGGGAGGCCGAGGUUGCACUGAGCCGAGAUUGUGCCACUGCACUCCAGCCUGGGUGACAGAGUGAGACUCCAUCUCAAAACAAAAACAAAAACAAAAGCAAAAACAAAACAAAAGUGUGUGCUCAGGAAACAAGGUCCUCAUCACGAAAUCCUUCCAAAUCCCCCAUCUUGUCAUCACCUGCGUUCUCAGGGUUUGAGAACAGCGCCAGACCUCAUGGGGUGGCCCAGGUGACACUGUGAGCUAUUUACAAGUCAGUGUCUUAUGGGAAAGGAGCACGUUUCCCUGAGAACCUAUUUGGUCCCCUCCAAGAGCUAUGUUCGUUCAAUACAAUUCAAAUCACGGCCCUUCAUGCGUCUGCUCGGGCCACCAUUAUAAAAUCCUACCCCCAGCUCCAAAUACAGUCCCAUUGAACUUUGUGAUUUUGGAGAGUAGAGAUAAAACAGUCUAGAAUCCCAGAGCGAUUUUACCAUACCAUGGCAAACUGACUCUCAACUUUAGAAACACAAAUGCUGAAAAAAAAACUAAGGAAAUUUUGAAAAAGAAGGUGAAUGAAGGAGAACCUGCCUUACCUAUAUCAAAAGGCACUGAAAAGUUCAUACCCAAUGUGCGGAUUGCUAUAAGAAUACACAAGUAGGCCGGGCGUGGUGGCUCACGCCUGUCAUCCCAGCACUUUGGAGGCCGAGGCGGGUGGAUCACGAGGUCAGGAGAUCGAGACCCUCC